CGCAGCAGCUCUCAGGUAGAAAGAAGGAAGCUCUGAGUUUGCCAACAGAAAACAAGAACCUGUCAAGACUCAGAUAUGAAGGGCUCAGUGGCUCCUUGUCAGGUCAGGUCACCCAGAUCAGGGUCAUGGGGACAGUGGGAUGGCUCCUUUCUCUUGUGUGGUCCUCAAUGCCACCACUACAGCUUCCUGCGUCAUUUACUCUCGAAGAAAACGGCACAAACGAAACAGCCACCUCUGCUAUAGUCCAAGUAAGAAGAGUCAUCUCAUUCUUUUAUUCCAUACCAAGAAGUGAUCUUCUCUAUGCAGGGGAAGCAUGCUAAGACUCAGUAUGUUCUUAAGAGGGGAUGAAAUAUCCAUGCAGCAAGGAAUCUCCUUGAAACUCAGCCUGUAAAUGGAUUGAUCAAAUCUCCUCGAGUCCCUGAAACUGGCCGGACACUGGGCUCUUGGCUCUCCAAACUCAUAAACAGCAAACAUUGAGACAAGCAGGGUUGCCUGAAGAAGCAGGGACCCGGCAGGGCUGCCUGAAGAGGCCCCAGGCAACUAAGCUACCUGGGAGAGGUCCUCCCCAGCCUGUUGAACUCCCUCCAAGCUGUGCAGCUAGCACCAGAGUGAGCUUUCAUGAGCUGACAUCCAUGCUGGGGUGAGCUGUUGGUGUUCCAUCCAUCUUUGAGUAACUCCUCCCCCAUGGCCUGUGACAAGAUUUGCUUGUUCCAAGACCACACCUCCUGAAUCUCAGACAGCAACACUAACUGCAGACAAAGUAUUUAAAUGCCUGAGACCGUGGGGAAGAAUUCGCUCAAACCACCACAGAGUGUAUGAAGGAGCCAGCUAGAUCCACUCUGAGAAGCCACAUGGCAACAGCCUCCACCGGAGCGACUUCAGAAGACAGAAGAAAAGAGACAACUUCACACAUCUCAGAAGGAACCUGAAAACCCAGACUGUUUGUCAAAAGAUGUGAAUACCAGGGCUCAUAAAGUCCUAAGUCUGGUUAGUGGCAGAUAGGAGGUUUGAACCCGUGCUGCUGAGAACCUUGCCUGCUAAGAAAGCU
rnacentral:lncRNA from 1 species